UUCCGGUUGAUCCUGCCGGACCUGACUGCUAUCGGAUUGAUACUAAGCCAUGCGAGUCAUUGUAGCAAUACAAGGCAGACGGCUCAGUAACGCGUAGUCAACCUACCCUAUGGACGGGGAUAACCUCGGGAAACUGAGAAUAAUACCCGAUAGAACAUUAUACCUGGAAUGGUUUAUGUUUCAAAUAAUUUAUUGCCGUAGGAUGGGACUGCGGCCUAUCAGUUUGUUGGUGAGGUAAUGGCCCACCAAGACUAUUACAGGUACGGGCUCUGAGAGGAGUAGCCCGGAGAUGGGUACUGAGACACGGACCCAGGCCCUAUGGGGCGCAGCAGGCGAGAAAACUUUGCAAUGUGCGAAAGCACGACAAGGUUAAUCCGAGUGGUUUCUGCUAAAGGAACCUUUUGUUAGUCAUAGAACCACUAAUGAAUAAGGGGUGGGCAAGUUCUGGUGUCAGCCGCCGCGGUAAAACCAGCACCUCAAGUGGUCAGGAUGAUUAUUGGGCCUAAAGCAUCCGUAGCCUGCUUUGUUAGUUUUCGGUUAAAUCCAUACGCUCAACGUAUGGGCUGCCGGGAAUACUGCAAAGCUAGGGAGUGGGAGAGGUAGACGGUACUCGGUAGGAAGGGGUAAAAUCCUUUGAUCUAUUGAUGACCACCUGUGGCGAAGGCGGUCUACCAGAACACGUCCGACGGUGAGGGAUGAAAGCUGGGGGAGCAAACCGGAUUAGAUACCCGGGUAGUCCCAGCUGUAAACUAUGCAAACUCGGUGAUGCAUUGGCUUGAUGCCCAAUGCAGUGCCGCAGGAAGCCGUUAGUUUGCCGCCUGGGAAGUACGUACGCAAGUAUGAAACUUAAAGGAUUGGCGGGGGAGCACCACAAGGGUGAAGCCUGCGGUUCAAUUGGAUUCAACGCCGGAA
rnacentral:rRNA from 1 species